AGCGAACGCUGGCGGCGUGCUUAACACAUGCAAGUCGAGCGAAGGUGUUUCAAGGGUAACCUUGAGAUACACUUAGCGGCGGACGGGUGAGUAAUACGUGGAUAACUUACCUCUAGGCCUGGGAUAACCCCGGGAAACUGGGGCUAAUACCUGAUAAGACCACAUUGUCUACGGACAAAGGGGUAAAAGUGGCUGUGCAAACAGCUAUCGCCAAAAGAUAGGUUCACGUCCCAUCAGGCAGUGGUGAGGUAAUGGCUCACCAAACCAAAGACGGGUAGCCGGCCUUGGCGGGUGAACGGCCACACGGGGACUGAGACACGGCCCCGACUCCUACGGGAGGGCAGCAGUGGGGAAUAUUGGGCAAUGGGCGCAAGCCUGACCCAGCGACGUCGCGUUGGGGAAGAAGGCC
rnacentral:rRNA from 1 species